GACGAAAGCAAAAAAAAGAAGAGAGAGAAAAAAAGAAAUUUUGAGACGAAUAAAAAAGUUUCAUGAUAAAUAGCGAUUUUCUUUUUCUUUUAAACCCUAUUUUUAA
rnacentral:ribozyme from 1 species